rnacentral:misc_RNA from 1 species
UUUCCCUAUUAAAAUUGCUAUCAAAGUCCCCGGCACGCCCCCCUUUCUGAGAUGACCCCGGAAAACGGGAGGGGCAUCUCUUUACGCAUCAGCCAAUGGCAAUCGAAGGAUUCCAGUGUCACUACGCGUCACCGACCGCCGACCCGCGGAGGAAUCUCUCCAACGCGCGGACCGUCGUCAAGGGGCCCGGACCAAAGUUGCUCGGACUUUGUGCUCAGCAUUCGUCGUUCGUCGCAUCCCACGGUCGCGCUAUGGACCUUUCGGACCUAACGUCUCUAGAGCUCGAAAUCCUGGAACGGACAGCUGACAUGGGUGCCAUAUCCUAUGAUUCGACCCCGAUGCGCGACGUCGACGAACGCAGCGCCGCGGGCACCGACUGUGGCAACGACGAACGGCCGCGCCGCGGUGAAGCGAGUCCGCAAGAGCUGGAAGACGCACCCGACGAUGGAAUCGGGCGGCUUGGGAACACGGACUGGUGUCUAUGUGGUUCCUGCGCGCCGAUGGAGACCGUCGUCGAGUGCGUCUGCUGCCGCGAAUACCCGGCCGUCGCACGGAAGCAGCAGGGCCGGCAGGGCUGCGUAACGGGCCACCCGGACUUCGAGGCCCUGUGCCUCAACCCUGAGGUGUUGAGGUUGGCCUACCUCAACAUGCGGCACUACGGGCAGCAAGGGAUGGGCGCAAGUGCCAGCGAAUGCCAGACACCCUGAAGCCGGUGGAUGAUCAUCUCGACAUGUUCCUUGUGGUGCCAGCAACACUUGCACCGCUGGUGUGGCAUUCUUUGCACGCUAUGCUGGGAUAGUUUUUUAGGAGUGCCAUAUCUGGACAGCUUAUUCAGAAGCAGGCUGUCGUCGUCGAGAUCCAUGCUUUUUUUUUAACAGAUGAUGUUGCAGUGCCCACAUGGGCACUACAGAUUUGCAGCCUACAGGCAGUGUGCCCUGUGGCUGUGGAGCCGCUUGGGAAAGAAGAAUAGGCGGCCCCUGCCAUCCUGUGUGGUCAAGACAAUUAGGGGCAGGUAUCCUGCUGACGUGUAUGCGGGC